rnacentral:rRNA from 1 species
UGCGUAGGCGGUGCGGUAAGUCUUCUGUGAAACCUCCGGGCUUAACUCGGAGCCUGCAGGGGGAAACUGCCGUGCUGGAGUAUGGGAGAGGUGAGUGGAAUUCCUGGUGUAGCGGUAAAAUGCGUAGAGAUCAGGAGGAACACCGGUGGCGAAGGCGGCUUUCUGGGCUGUAACUGACGCUGAGGCGCGAAAGCGUGGGGGAGCAAACAGGAUUAGAUACCCUGGUAGUCCACGCUGUAAACGAUGAAUACUAGGUGUAGGGGACGCAGGUCUUCUGUGCCGGAGCUAACGCAAUAAGUAUUCCGCCUGGGGAGUACGGCCGCAAGGUUGAA